rnacentral:rRNA from 1 species
CCUACGGGGGGCUGCAGUGAGGAAUAUUGGUCAAUGGGCGGAAGCCUGAACCAGCCAUGCCGCGUGCAGGAUGAAUGCCCUAUGGGUUGUAAACUGCUUUUACCGGGGAAUAAACCUUUCUACGUGUAGGAAGCUGAAGGUACUCGGUGAAUAAGCACCGGCUAACUCCGUGCCAGCAGCCGCGGUAAUACGGAGGGUGCAAGCGUUAUCCGGAAUCAUUGGGUUUAAAGGGUCCGCAGGCGGGAUUAUAAGUCAGUGGUGAAAGCCUGCAGCUC